CAUUAGUUCUGAUGGAUCCGGAACCUGAGACACUAAACCCGGCUCUAAUCUGUUUAAUGCAGAGAGUGGACUGAACCAUCACUUCACUUAAUCAUUUAUAUUCAAAUAAUGUUUUAUCUAUAUUUCAUUCAGGCUUUAGGAAAAAAGUGGCUUUAAAGGUUUAGAGUUGUGUUUCCUGUUUUAUUUUGUAGUUCUGCCCUAUCUGUGUUUUGUAUUUAAGGAGCAGGAGUUUAGGUUGAAAAGUCAGUGUCAUUCUUCAAGAAUGUAUGGACCUUGUGUCAUGACUAAGAAAGCUGGUUAUGUUUAGGUUGUCUUGUGUCAAUGUUGUCUUGUGGUUUCCUGUUUUAUUUUGAAAUUUUUCCCUCCUCUCGUUUCAGAUAACUUGCCCCUUCCCCUGGUGUGGUUCCCACCAGCCUGACUGUCCUCCCCGCCCUGAUUGUUUCCACCUGUACCCCAUUACCAUGCGUGUAUAUAAUAUCUGCGUCUUCCUUUGUUUGUUGCCAGUUCGUCUUGUCCUUCGUGUCUGUGAACCAGCUCCUCGCCAUAGAUACAGCGAGAGAUGAGGCCCUAUAAUGCAUCACUGUUGGUGUUCUGACAGUUGUCAGUGAAGAUAGUCCUCACGAGGAUCCAAGCUCAGUGAACCUCCAGCCCAUCUCCACUGCCAUCAUUCUAGAGGGAGUUUUUGUUAUGCACUGGUUGGACCCAAACCUGGGAUGCUGCAACAAGGACCCUGUGGAGGGGGUGUGGUCCAUCAGCUGCAGGGGAGAGUAGUGUGCUGGACCUGCAAGCACAGACACACCAAGAUUCGGCAACAAAAGAGUGGUGGUCCGGAGUGUUGCAAUGACACAAACAGACUGCAAACGGCUCAGAUCAUUGGGUGUUCUGUUUAUGAGUGAAAUAAACGUGUCAGUCAUCAUUCUGUGACUCUGUGCUCAAGAAACCCACAGUGGCAUCAGUCAAUGCCACAGACACAUUCAAGGAAAUUGGUUUGUUUAAUUUAAAUGAACUUGUGAAAAUGAGUGAGUAGUAAGUUGUAGGUAUUUUGUAAUUCUAAGUGGGGUUCUAAUUGUAUCAAAAUGUGUUGUACUACUUAAUUUAGUACUACACACUUAAAGUAAACAAGCUUUUCUAACUCACUAAUCUUAAGAUUAAUUUGCUUAAUUUUAAAGUACUUUAAAAUAAAGUCAACUUAUUACAUUUUACAGUAUAAACGUAGGGGUAGGGCUAGAGGUUAGGGUAGUAGUGAUAUUCUUUAUCUUUUGUUUGUUUCCUUCAUACAAAUAUUGUUCCCUAUCCUUGAUAAUAACUGCACUACCUUCAUCAGCUGGUGUACUGUUUUUA